AUUGAACGCUGGCGGAAUGCUUUACACAUGCAAGUCGAACGGCAGCACGGACUUCGGUCUGGUGGCGAGUGGCGAACGGGUGAGUAAUGUAUCGGAACGUGCCCAGUCGUGGGGGAUAACGUAGUGAAAAUUACGCUAAUACCGCAUACGAUCUAUGGAUGAAAGCGGGGGAUCGCAAGACCUCGCGCGAUUGGAGCGGCCGAUAGCAGAUUAGGUAGUUGGUGGGGUAAGGGCCCACCAAGCCAACGAUCUGUAGCUGGUCUGAGCGGACGACCAGCCACACUGGAACUGAGACACGGUCCAGACUCCUACGGGAGGCAGCAGUGGGGAAUUUUGGACACUGGGCGAAAGCCUGAUCCAGCCAUUCCGCGUGCAGGAUGAAGGCCCUCGGGUUGUAAACUGCUUUUGUACAGAACGAAAAGGUUUCUACUAAUACUAGGAGCUCAUGACGGUACUGUAAGAAUAAGCACCGGCUAACUACGUGCCAGCCGCCGCAGUAA
rnacentral:rRNA from 1 species